UACGUAGGGUCCGAGCGUUGUCCGGAAUUACUGGGCGUAAAGAGCUCGUAGGUGGUUUGUCGCGUUGUCCGUGAAAACUCACAGCUCAACUGUGGGCGUGCGGGCGAUACGGGCAGACUGGAGUACUGCAGGGGAGACUGGAAUUCCUGGUGUAGCGGUGGAAUGGGCAGAUAUCAGGAGGAACACCGGUGGCGAAGGCGGGUCUCUGGGCAGUAACUGACGCUGAGGAGCGAAAGCGUGGGGAGCGAACAGG
rnacentral:rRNA from 1 species